rnacentral:rRNA from 1 species
AUUGAACGCUGGCGGCAGGCUUAACACAUGCAAGUCGAGCGAGAGGCGGGCGGGGGCGUAAUGUGUGGGAAAAUGCCUGAUGGAGGGGGGUCACUACUGUAAACGGGAGCUAUUAUCGCAUACCCUCAGAUGUGCCCAGGAGGGAUUAGAUAGUGGGUGGGGUAAUGGCGCACCUAGGCGACGAGCCCUAGCGGGUCUGAGAGGAUGAUCAGCCAAACUGGAACUGAGACACGGUCCAGACUCCUACGGGAGGCAGCAGUGGGGAAUAUUGCACAAUGGGGGCAAGCCUGAUGCAGCCAUGCCGCGUGGGUGAAGAAGGCCUUCGGGUUGUAAAGCACUUUCAGCGAGGAGGCGUUACUCGCAUAAGAAGCACCGGCUAACUCCGUGCCAGCAGCCGCGGUAAUUC